UACGUAGGGGGCAAGCGUUGUCCGGAUUUAUUGGGCGUAAAGAGCGUGUAGGCGGCCAUGUAGGUCCGUUGUGAAAACUCGAGGCUCAACCUCGAGACGCCGAUGGAAACCAUAUGGCUAGAGUCCGGAAGAGGAGAGUGGAAUUCCUGGUGUAGCGGUGAAAUGCGCAGAUAUCAGGAAGAACACCCGUGGCUAAGGCGGCUCUCUAGUACGGUACUGACGCUGAGGAGCGAAAGCGUGGGGAGCGAACAGG
rnacentral:rRNA from 1 species